GGGCGAGAUAAGAAGGGGAGGGGCUUUAUCAGAAGCUGUCACUUGGCAAGUGGCAGGCAGGCGCUUGGAAGCCACUGCUAUUCCAUUCUUAAAAGUACUUAGCCAGCCAGUGUGUCCUGGGGGCUGGGGCACAGUAAGAUUAGGGGCAGACUGCCUCAGCUUGGGCCUGCUGGGGUGGUCUAAUCUGUUCCAGACAGAAAACAGGCUCCUCACCCAAGUCACUUCUGCAAUGGAAAGCCAACAUUCCUGAUGCAGUCAUGCAUGCCUCCAUUUACUCAACAAAGGUGGCUGCCCUACUAAGUGCCAAGGGCAGGCUCAGCCACCCAGGGCACUGACUGGCUCAGCUCCUACAGAGGGGACCUGGAUGAGGCCUAGAAAAAGCAAGUAAAGCUGACCGGGGAAACCAGACAUCCAGGUUUCCAGAAAAGAAUCUAACCCAAGAAGUUGGAGGCUUCGUUCCACUCGAAGCCUCUGAGCCCUUCCUCCCUUGCCUCAGAUGCUGGCAAAAAUGAGAGCUAUUAGAUCCCAAGGCUCAAAGGAAUCUGCAUCACCUCCCAGAUGUGCUCUUUAUCCAGGUCCUGACAGCGACUCCAAAUUGACCUGCAAUGUUCCGGGGGUGGGGGGGAAGACCUUUGACCUACAGACCUACAAGAUAGAUGGAGUUGGAACUUCUCAUCUUCCCACAGAUGCCCCAAAGACUUUCACUAGUACAGAAACGCCAGACUCACUAACCCAGAGGAUGGAGGUCAGCCUGCCAUAAAGUCUCAGAGGUAAACGUGCUGCAUAGACCAGAAGAGGAGAGAGCCCUUUAGCGGUGCUCGGGACCUCUGGGAGAAGGGGUUGCUGUCUUUCGGAGGGUUGCUGGUGACUUGUGAGGGCCACUAGAGUCACUAGAAUCAGGCUGAAGGUAAAUACUUUGCCCCAUCAGAGAGGUGCCAGUGAGUGUACUGCAGACAAAAGACACAUACCACCCAUUCAUACUUAUCACAGCCCUCAUUUUCUGAAACCCAGUUCUGAUGCCAACUUGUUCUUAAGAUAGCAAACCCAUGGACACCAACUGUUGACUUGAGGAGUCUUUUUAAAUAGUACAUUUGCCAGUAAUGUUCUUCUCAUACUUUAAAAUGCACACUGUAAUUUUUAGUCACCACAACUUGCUUUGACUGUCCUUGAAGCUUGAAAAUGCCUAAAAAAAAAAAAAAAAAAAAGAUGUUCUAACAUGCAGCCAUCCUUUUUAUAAUAGCUGGAGAGAAAUGUUUGGUCUAUGCCUAAUAGAAACUAGUGGUUAGAGUAGCAGAGAGGCAGAGGCCACAUUCCAGCUCCCUCCCUUAAGCCACCUUCAUUCUUGUAGAGAGAGUCAAACUUAAUACAUAAAUCAGGGGGAAAAAAAAAACUCAUCCAAGAUUUCAGCCAAUGACCCAGCUAGUAAAUAUUUAAUGAACAUUUGUCAAUAUAUCAAAUUCCUGGGUGCCACAUCUAAAUCCUGUAUCUGUUCAUGAAGAGAUAGAACAGAAAUAAGUCUGUAGAAUUUGUUCCAGAGUUACAAUUUAUAAGUUACAACUUCUUCUCCAUCAUCCAUACACUUGUCAUAUAAUUCAGCAAUUAUAACCAAGCAGGUUCCUACACAUCCUAGCUGACACACACAUAUACCUGCAUGCUAGAGUUCUUAAGACUGUCCUGGGUCUCCUUUCCCUUCCACCUGUUUUUGUUUGUCUGUUCCUCUAUGCUCCAGAUGUGUUCAGACAAUGGCCCAGCUGAGUCCUGCCUAUGAGUUAAAAUCUAGGACCUCCCAGACAGUGUUGAUGCAUACCUUUAAUCCCAGCACAAAAAGCUCUCUGAGUUCAAGGCCAAUCUGGUCUAAAGAGUGAGUUCCAGAACAGCCAGGGCUACACAGAGAAACCCUUUCUAGGAAAAAAGUCAAAGAAGAAGAAGAAGAAGAAGAAGAAGAAGAAGAAGAAGACGACGACGACGACGACGACGAAGAAGAAGAAGAAGAAGAAGAAGAAGAAGAAGAAGAAGAAGAAGAAGAAGAAGAAGAAGAAAAGCAAAACCAAACUUAGGACCUGCCUGUAUGCAUUUGCCUAGGCUACCAUAGCAAAAUACCACAAACUAGAUGGUUUCAACAACAGACACUCAUUUCCUCACAGUUUGGGAAGCUGAAAGUCCAAAAUCAAAGGUGCUUUGCUUUCUGGUGAGGCUUCUCCUCCUGGCUUUUAGAUGCCACCUCCGCUCUGUGUCCUCAUGUGGCCUCUCCCCUGUGCAUGCAGCAGAGAGAGACAACUCCAGUGUCUCCUCCUUCUAAGAGGCCCCAUUCCAAUUGGAUUCCAGCCCCAACUUUAUGACUUCAUUUAACCUUAAUUACCUUAUUACAGAACCUAUCUCCAAACAGUCACGUUGAAGGCUGAGGAUUCAACAUAUAAGUGGGUCAAGGGGGUAGAAAAGUCAGCCCACAGCACUGCCCCCCUACCAACUCCUUACCUUCUUGGCUUAAUCUUUUUUAAUGAAUCUUAAUUGAAUGUGAAGGGAGACAAUACUCACUCUGUCUUAGGAUGCCUAAAGCCUGGCACUGUGCCCAGUCUAGAAACCAUAUUAAAGAAAUGCUUGUUGAA